GGUGUGCCUUCCGCCUCCUCCUCCUCCUCUUUCUCUGGCUCGCGUCAGCGCGCGGUCCUCCCGACCCCUCCUUCCGCCCACCCCGGAGGAUGCGCUCCCGUGCGCCCCGCGGCACAGGCCCCCGCUCUCGGGGAUGCGCGCGCGCGACCCCCUCCUCCGGGACCCGCAGAGCUGGCGCCCCCGCCCUGUAGGGCUAUGAGUCAUUGAUUAAAAAGAAGAACUUUUCCAAAUACUUUGUACUUUUGGUUGUGUAUUAUGGAUACCAAGGAGGAGAAGAAGGAACGAAAACAAAGCUAUUUUGCUAGUUAUGAAAUGUAUCUAGUAAUAACCCACAAUCAAGAUGAUCUUAAAGAAGCAAGCCACCCAGUUGAGAAGAAAGAGAGGAAGGCCAAGGGGAACAUCAAGGGGUCCAGAGCUGGCUAGUUUGCCCUUUGUUUGCUUCUUUAGGGAAGAGCAUGUAGAGAUGGCUAUUUGAACACACUUCUUAAUAAAACAUGCAU